UGAGCGUGAGAACAGCUGGCUC
rnacentral:miRNA from 1 species